AUGAAGAGCAGACAUAACCGAUGAUUAUUAGUGUGGAGCUUAACUUCUAUCAUUUUCUUAAAAGAUGCAAAUAUCUUAUUCCAUGUUGAUGCUAAUAAGCUGACACUGAAAGUGAGUGUGGUGGCUUCUUUGGUCAAUUUCAUCUUCGGAUUCUUGCUACUCUCGAUUACAUUGUGGCUCGUCUUAAUGUGAUGAUGCAGGUGGAGCUGGUGAGGCUUAGCUGCAGAGAGGGGCUGAUUAUGGGGAUUUUUAUAUUCAUGUUUUGUCACUCUAUUUUAACAUAUGAUGUAAAGGCUCAUGGCCUAUUUGACUAAACUCACAUUUUUGUAUGU